rnacentral:rRNA from 1 species
AUACGUAGGGGACGAGCGUUGUCCGGAAUUACUGGGCGUAAAGGGCGCGCAGGCGGAUCUUUAAGUCAGCUGUAAAAGGCAUGAGCUCAACUCAUGUAUGCGGUUGAAACUGGGUAUCUAGAGUGCUGGAGAGGUAGGCGGAAUUCCCGGGGUAGCGGUGAAAUGCGUAGAUAUCGGGAAGAACACCAGUGGCGAAGGCGGCUUACUGGCCAGCAACUGACGCUGAGGCGCGAAAGCCAGGGGAGCGAACGGGAUUAGAUACCCCGGUAGUCCUGGCCGUAAACGAUGAAUGCUAGGUGUGGGUGUCGAGAGGCAUCCGUGCCGGAGUUAACGCGAUAAGCAUUCCGCCUGGGGAGUACGAUCGCAAGAUUGAAACUCAAAUGAAUUGGCGGG